rnacentral:rRNA from 1 species
GACGAACGCUGGCGGCGUGCUUAACACAUGCAAGUCGAACGGAAAGGCCCUGCUUUUGUGGGGUGCUCGAGUGGCGAACGGGUGAGUAACACGUGAGUAACCUGCCCUUGACUUUGGGAUAACUUCAGGAAACUGGGGCUAAUACCGGAUAGGAGCUCCUGCUGCAUGGUGGGGGUUGGAAAGUUUCGGCGGUUGGGGAUGGACUCGCGGCUUAUCAGCUUGUUGGUGGGGUAGUGGCUUACCAAGGCUUUGACGGGUAGCCGGCCUGAGAGGGUGACCGGCCACAUUGGGACUGAGAUACGGCCCAGACUCCUACGGGAGGCAGCAGUGGGGACUAUUGCAAAAUGGGCGGAAGCAUGAUGCAGCAACGCCGCGUGCGGGAUGACGGCCUUCGGGUUGUAAACCGCUUUCGCCUGUGACGAAGCGUGAGUGACGGUAAUGGGUAAAGAAGCACCGGCUAACUACGU